AUGGGAGUGUUAUAUGGAGACAUACAGCUUCGAGAAGCCCAUCCUUGGAAUUCCCCAGAAUCAUUCCAUCCUUGCCCUGUCCUGUCUUCCCGUUGUGAUGUUUUUUUUCUGCUGUUAAAGAGAGCUGAAGGUACUAGACUAUGCAGAGAAUAAAUAGGCCCCCAGACUUUCCUGGCGGGGUCCCCGGGUCAAUGCUCUUCAGAAGCACUGGCUGAUUCUGACCUUUGCGGCCUCUUCUCCUACAACACCAGUGCUCUUAGUGGCUCAUGUUUGUCAAGACAACAAUGUUGACUUUGGAACCUGUGAUCUCUGGUCACAUACUACUCUGCAGACCAGCCAUCUGAACUUGGAAGCACAGCUGGACUGGAAGAAAACUGCUGGAGACUUUACUUAUCUUCAGUAUGUAUAAUGAAUAGGAGAUAUAAAGAUGUUGUCUAAGUUAAAUUAGUUUUGUUCUAUUUCUUGAAUAUACUGUCUGCUGAGCUUCUGGACUGGGCUGCCUUUCAGUCUCCAUUAACUUGUGGCUGCUUUCCUAGAGAAGCUGGGAGCCCUUUGGGCUUUGCCAGGGCAGGAGCUUCUCAGAGUGCUUUCAAAAUGUGGUGCUUACCCAGUGCUAAGAUCUAGAAUAGAUGCACCCAGUACACUUCCACUUUCCUGUCCCCACAGCCUAAAGCAGGGGAUGACAGAGUUUAGGAUGGAAGGUUGGGCCUCAGAAAGUUCUCUUCUUCUUAGCAAGUAAGGAGUGAUGUAACCAUUCAAUCAUUUACAGGGUAUGACUCAGUGCAGGAAGUUGUGACUCCUCCCUCCAGGUGCUUCUCACCCCAGGCCCUUUGAGCAGCCUGCUAUUAUUCAGGGUAAUAAGCAGCACCAUGUUCCCCAGUUCCACCAGGUUUCAA
rnacentral:lncRNA from 1 species